ACUCAAAUGAAUUGACGGGGACCCGCACAAGCAGCGGAGCGUGUGGUUUAAUUCGAUGCGACGCGAAGAACCUUACCAGGGUUUGACAUGUAGUCGCACCACCCUGAAAAGGGUGUUCCUUCGGGACGGCUACACAGGUGCUGCAUGGCUGUCGUCAGCUCGUGCCGUGAGGUGUUGGGUUAAGUCCCGCAACGAGCGCAACCCUUAUUGUUAGUUAAUUUCACUAACGAGACUGCCCCGAUCAACGGGGAGGAAGGUGGGGAUGACGUCAAGUCAGCACGGCCCUUACAUCCUGGGCAACACACACGCUACAAUGGCCGGUACAGAGGGCCGCUAACCCGCGAGGGGGUGCGAAUCUCACAAAACCGGUCUCAGUUCGGAUUGUAGGCUGCAACCCGCCUGCAUGAAGCUGGAGUUGCUAGUAACCGUGGGUCAGCACACCACGGUGAAUACGUUCCCGGGUCUUGUACACACCGCCCGU
rnacentral:rRNA from 1 species